UACGUAGGGGGCAAGCGUUGUUCGGAAUUACUGGGCGUAAAGGGUGCGUAGGUGGUUUAGUACGUCAGGAGUGAAAUCCCCAGGCUCAACCUGGGAAUUGCUUUUGAGACUACUAGACUUGAGUACAGGAGAGGUGAGUGGAAUUCCCGGUGUAGAGGUAAAAUUCGUAGAUAUCGGGAGGAACACCAGUGGCGAAGGCGGCUCACUGGCCUGUAACUGACACUGAGGCACGAAAGCGUGGGGAGCAAACAGG
rnacentral:rRNA from 1 species